UUAAAAUAAAUUAAGUAACAAUUCCUCUCAUUAUGAAAAUCAUAUAAUCUGUGUCCUUUAUCCUUUGAAUAUUCUUAUGUAAUUGGUGUAAAAACUGCCAGAAUGAACUAGUAAAAUGGAGAUUUCUGGUGGUACAGAAGCUAGAUGAAAAGAGUGGCUGUUCUUUUUUUUCUUUUUAGGAACUAUCUUGCUAGCAGGUGGCUUUUGGUAAUCGGUAGUUCCAAGGGCUUAUAUUGAAUAAGUGACUUAUUCUACCUAUAAUGCAUUCCAUCGACUAUCAUCUCUGGAAAUUAUUUUUAAAGAAAUUAGCCAACUGAUUUCUAGAAAGUGAAUUCUGACUGUGAUAUUCAUCUCGCUUUCCCUGUGGGACUGUCCAUGAUGCACUGUUGCCCCCUUGAGCUAAAAUGUGUCUGUGAUGUCAGAAUGUUCUCUCCUGCUCUGCAGUUACAGUGGCAAAUUGUAGGAGUAGCACAUUCACAAGGAAGAAUUUGUAAAAUUAGAACAGUUCAAACACAUCUCUUUUUCAGGCUUUUCAAGUAUAAGCUUUCAGAAAAUUUACCAUUUUUAGAUUUGGUAAUACAGUUGAAGGAAAUGAGUGGAAAAUAUUCACAAGGAUGAUAGUAAAAAAUGUCGUUAAUAUUGUUUUAAAUAUUUUCCAGGUUUUACUGGGUUGCAUGUAAGUAUGUUUAAUAGUUCACUAAGGUUAUCAAAAUUUUGGCAGGAAUAGUUGAACUAAUUAAAAUUUCUAUUCAAGAUUAGGUGCUUAAAGCCAGUCUGUAUUAAAAUGUAAGGAAAUAGUUAGAUUUUUCUGUAACAUUUUUUCUUUGUAUCUUGGUAUAUACUACGGACUUACUGUAGACUGUGCUGUACAUUCCGUCAUGAUAGGUUCCAUGGCCUCGUAAUACGUUAACUUUGGUUCUCCAGUAAUUGGUGGGCAUACUCUAUUGAAUUCCCCUCCGAAAAAUAUACCUUAGUAAUUUUCCAAUUUACUUCGCCUCAUUUUAAAAGUGGAUAUGAAUAGAACCGUAUUUUAUUUUAUUUUUUAUAAUUGUAUAAAUUUGAAAAGUUUUAAUACCUGAAAAUCUGAGAAUUUACCUUACAAAUGAAAUGAACUUACAUUGAAAAUUUUAUUCCAGGUAACAAUCUAUUUGACCUUUUUUUCCUUCUUUCCCAGCUGUGUUCUUUUUCUCAUGUUUUAUAUGUUCUAGCAUCCUGCCUGCCAAGCUUUUUAUUUAGAUUCCCGCCUUUCUCUAAAUUACUAUAUUUAUGUCAACUUUUGUAGUAUAUGCCAGUAAAAUCAUUUAUUAAUCAGGCACAGAAAAACUAAUACAACUUGGAAAGGUUAGAUAGAAUUUUUAUUUUGUCCUGAAAUUUUCCCCAUUGUCAAUGUUACAUUCUGCACAAACACUCAUUUCAUUGGCUUGUGUGGUGUGUAUGGUUUUGGCUUCCAGUAACGCACUUGUUUGCAGUAAUGAAUCCUCAAGUUCAAUUUCAGAUUUUUUCCCACACACAUCAAAAGAUUAUUUAAUCCAUUGGACUUUUCAAGAUUUUCAAAAGUAAUUUGAAGCGUUUGGAAAUUAAAACUAGACUUUGAAAGACUAGAGUAAUGUGACCUUUUAAAUUGUAAAUCAAAAAUUUUUCAUUUUUAAUACUUAAUGAAUCAGUUUCUUUCCCCAGUGAGAGUUAAUAUUUGAAAGUAGUAAGAUUUGCUUUACAAAUGUAUAUAAACACGUAUGAAAUUGUUCGUGGUGAUAAAUUGGAGUAGGUAUUUUCAUUCAUCGUUAAAGACUGACUUUGGGAGCCAUCACUCUCUGGGUUGAAAUCUCAGCUCUAUUUAUUGCUGUGUGCCCUUGAGAGGAUUCUUCUCUGUGCCUCAGUUUCCUCUUGAGCAAAAUAAGGACUGACAGGGUGGUUAUGAGGAUUAAGUGAGGUAAGACCUGUAGAGCACUUGGGAAGGGGCCUGGCACUUGGAGAAGUGCUAACUAAGCAUUACCUUUGACUUAAAUGCUCUUUGAUUUACUUGGAUUUUUUCAAAUUUAUAAUUGUACCUUAUUAAUAAACAUAAUCUAAAUAAGUUACUGAAAACUUCUCAACAGUUAUAUGAAUUAGUGAGGAAAGAAAGCUGUCAUUGAACCCAUGUAGUUUCAAGGCUCUAUGCCUUUUUAUACACAUUUGUUAAAUAAUUAAGCAUUAAACCUAAAGAUUUUAUAUUACAAAGGGAAAGAUUAGGUAUAAUGAUUUUACUUAGAUCUCUGGCUUGAAAGAUUAUUUAAAAGUACAGGACACAUUACAAUGAUGUGUGAAGCACCGUGAUUGCCAAUAAUUUUAAAAACUAUCAUAGCAUAACUGAAUUGACAAGAAGUGUUUGUUAUUAAAUCACCCUCCAAUACUCUCAGUAUUCUAUUCAUUUAGUUAUAAUCCUGGUAACUAAGAUGUUGAAGUAUAAAUUUAUAUUAUAAUAAAAUUGAAAGUAAACUGAGGAUUUUAAGGGAGUAAGAAAAGAGGGAAUAUUUUGAUUGCUUAAAGGUGUUUGCAGCCUGCUGUGUGUAUCUUGUGUCAUUUCUUUGCCAUGUGUGGUGCUAAAAAGUGUCUUUUAUGUAUAGCUGCCUUGGCUGUGGAAGAGCUUGUCCUUGAGUGAUUUCAUGGAAUAAUUUACGCCGGUGGAAGAAAAGAAGAAGAUAUUCUUGGAGAAACUACUUCUUACCAUUGUCAUCUCAGAUGCACCACUGAUUCAAAUUUUGUUAAUUCUUUGGGAGAAAGUUACUUAAGGCAUUGAAAACAGAAAAAAUGAAAUUGAAGAUUCACCUGAACCUUUGAUAGAUCCUGUGUAUGGACAUGGCAGAUACUUGGAUGUGAUGAGCAGGAAAUUACACCAACCUGAGCUCCCAGCAGAGGAGCAGCGGCCACUGUGGAUGGACAGAGAAGGAAGACGACAGCAGGACACACAGGAAGGAAACAGUCUUCGUAGAAAAACUGAAGAGGGAUGGACGGCAAGAGAUGCUGCUUCUGGCAAAGGCCACAGAAGAUGCUGAAAGAGAAGCUGGGACAGAGGGACAGCGGCGCAGAAGCGGAGGAGAGGGCGCCGAGAAGGUAGGUUUCCCUUC